rnacentral:rRNA from 1 species
UACGAAGGGGGCUAGCGUUGUUCGGAAUUAUUGGGCGUAAAGGGUAGGUAGGUGGUCUCAUUUGUCUGGGGUGAAAGCCUUGGGCUUAACUCAAGAAGUGCCCCAGAAACGGUGAGACUGGAGUCCUGGAGAGGGUCGUGGAAUUCCCGGUGUAGCGGUGAAAUGCGUAGAGAUCGGGAGGAACACCAGAGGCGAAGGCGGCGACCUGGACAGGUACUGACACUCAACUACGAAAGCGUGGGGAGCAAACAGG